rnacentral:rRNA from 1 species
UACGUAGGGUGCAAGCGUUAAUCGGAAUUACUGGGCGUAAAGCGUGCGCAGGCGGUUUUGUAAGUCAGAUGUGAAAUCCCCGGGCUUAACCUGGGAUCUGCGUUUGAAACUACAAGGCUAGAGUGUAGCAGAGGGGGGUGGAAUUCCACGUGUAGCAGUGAAGUGCGUAGAGAUGUGGAGGAACACCGAUGGCGAAGGCAGCCCCCUGGGUUAACACUGACGCUCAGGCACGAAAGCGUGGGGAGCAAACAGG